rnacentral:rRNA from 1 species
AUGGUUUACUUUAGUAUUGUAAUUGAAGUUACUCAUCAGUGUCUUGGUUAUACUGAAGUUUGCCAUCUUUUUGAAAUAUAUGCAGUUGACUGUUGCAAGGACACGAACCAUAUUACAGUUGCAAAAGAGAAUUCACUUAAGAUAUUAUCAUCGGGUUUGAAAGAAAGAUGUUGCAUGGCCCUCUUGUUUCAAUUCUGUCCUGGUAGUGAUUCAGAGGGCACUGCCAUCAAAGAAAUGCUCUUACUAUGCACUAGAAGCGCGCAUCGAGAAUGCGCAGAUCUACUCGAUGCACACUUCUGA